AUGAUUGCUGAAUUUGAUCCUGUUAUGCAAGAACACAUCUGGCGUAUGCAAAAUAGUGAAAUCCAUCAUCACUAUCUUGGCCACAAAAUCCAAAACGAGUUGAUCUCAGUUCUUGCUGAUGCCGUGAGAAAGGUUAUUUUAAAGAUCAUCAAAGAUGCCAAGUAUUUUUCAGUUAUUUUGGAUUGUACCCCGGAUGUGAGCCAUGAAGAACAAAUGACUCUCAUUGUGCGUUGUGUCAAUAUGUCAAGCAACCUUUCGAGAGUGGAGGAGUUUUUCCUAGAGUUCCUAAAGGUUGAGGACACAUCGGGGUUCGAGCUUUUGAAGGUAUUGAUGGAUACAUUGAGUUCUUUUGAUUUGAAUGCUGCUGAUGUGAGAGGUCAAGGUUAUGACAAUGGUUCCAACAUGAAAGGACAAUACCAAGGUGUUCAGAGUCGCUUCCUUAAAGAAAAACCCAAAGCAUUGUAUAUGUCUGGCUAUGUGCUGCAUUGA
rnacentral:rRNA from 1 species